UACAGCUAUAUCAGGUUGAAAUACUGGUUCUCGUACGACCACUGAAGUUAAGCAACGUGGCACCUGGUCAGAACCUAGAUGUGUGACCGCUUCGGAAUACCAGGUGCUGUAAG